rnacentral:rRNA from 1 species
UUGCUCCUGGAUUCAGCGGCGGACGGGUGAGUAAUGCCUAGGAAUCUGCCUGGUAGUGGGGGACAACGUUUCGAAAGGAACGCUAAUACCGCAUACGUCCUACGGGAGAAAGCAGGGGACCUUCGGGCCUUGCGCUAUCAGAUGAGCCUAGGUCGGAUUAGCUAGUUGGUGAGGUAAUGGCUCACCAAGGCGACGAUCCGUAACUGGUCUGAGAGGAUGAUCAGUCACACUGGAACUGAGACACGGUCCAGACUCCUACGGGAGGCAGCAGUGGGGAAUAUUGGACAAUGGGCGAAAGCCUGAUCCAGCCAUGCCGCGUGUGUGAAGAAGGUCUUCGGAUUGUAAAGCACUUUAAGUUGGGAGGAAGGGUUGUAGAUUAAUACUCUGCAAUUUUGACGUUACCGACAGAAUAAGCACCGGCUAACUCUGUGCCAGCAGCCGCGGUAAUACAGAGGGUGCAAGCGUUAAUCGGAAUUACUGGGCGUAAAGCGCGCGUAGGUGGUUCGUUAAGUUGGAUGUGAAAUCCCCGGGCUCAACCUGGGAACUGCAUCCAAAACUGGCGAGCUAGAGUAUGGUAGAGGGUGGUGGAAUUUCCUGUGUAGCGGUGAAAUGCGUAGAUAUAGGAAGGAACACCAGUGGCGAAGGCGACCACCUGGACUGAUACUGACACUGAGGUGCGAAAGCGUGGGGAGCAAACAGGAUUAGAUACC